rnacentral:lncRNA from 1 species
CCUUAUAGAAACCUAAAGUAUUCCAUUGUUGAAGUCGAAUUCCAUAUUCAAAGUUACCGAUUUAUUUGUGCUACAACGGAUGUGAUCGGUAUUAAGGUUUUACUAGUAUCUAAGUGAAGAAUACGACUUGCUAGAAUGCACCCACCAGUUUACUAAUGGUGGAAAGUAUUGCCCCUUGCUUCAAGGAGAGUCAGCAUAUUGGCGCCGGACCUUGAGUUAGAAGUGGCGCGGUGGAGCGCGGCCCUUUUCUUUGAGUUGUUGAAAUUCCCACCUGCCUCAACAUAUUUUGUUUCUUUCUUGCACGGCUAGAGAUGGAGGUCGAGAUACCCACAUCACCGCGACAAUUCAAUGAGUGCCAACUUCGUCCCUGAAGUCAAAUCUUUCCCUUGACCUGCGUCUCCUUUCAAGGAAAGGGUUAUCAACGAAACUAGACUUUACAUCUCUUAAAGGUUGAUCGACGGGACUAGACUUUACAUCACUUUCUUGCCGAUUGACUUCUUCUCCGUAUGAUUGUGUACCCAAACUCUUUGAGAAUUGAAAGCAGUCGAAAAGUGGAGAAAAAGAAAAUAAAUCUCAAAACACAAAAGUGUAACUGUAUCAGUAUCAAUGUGACUCCUUGUUGUCCUCAAUGCGUUGCAGUCGUUUGAAAUGCUGUUAUGGUUAUAUAUGCACAUUGUCUUGCGUUUUUUUCUUCAUAUUUUCAAAUUCGAAUAAUCAACAAAGAAUUAUAGUUCGAAAGUUUCCACUGAUGCUGUCAACAUUAAAGAUGCAUAGCAUAUUGUGUUCUUAAGAUAUCCAUGUGUAGUAUAUCUGGGUGUAUGCGUAAUAUGGACAACCAAAACUGCAACACAGAAUUAUUAAAACAAUGUUUUGUUUUCACGCAUUCAUUUUUCGUUUCUUUCUUUUCUUUUCUUUUACAAAUUAAAUAUAUAGUAAUCAUAUGUAUAUUAUUUAGCAUGUAAGUAAUACAUAUUCAAUUUAAUACAUUGCUUACAUAUCUUUUCUAGAUAUUUCAUAACUGUGAAGUAAUAACAAAUGCGACGUCUCUACAUAACGUGGUCAAAAAGUUUGUCGAAGAUACUGAAUCAGGAAGUUCAAUUUCGGCAGAGCCCAAUGCUUUUUCACAACGAAAAAUUUCAUCUUGUACUUGUGUGAGUAUUUGGGAGACCGAUUUGUCAUUAUCUUUGAUCCCUCGCACUGAGAAAGCGAAACCGUCUACCGCAAAAUCAUAUGAAUCUACACAUUGUUUGACUCCUUCGAACCCCUUAACAAUACCUUUGCCGGUGUUGUUGAGCGCAUUGACAAAGAAAGCUUUGCUUUGUUGUGCAUUUGUUAGUGCUAAUUUAACAAUAGCUGUGUCAAGAUCUUUGAGAUUAGAUGCUGAUCGAGUUGGAAUAUCUUUCAAAAGAGAUUUCACGCAUUGAUUGUAGUUGUAGCCGAAUCGGUCUUGGGUUUGCUUGCAAACACUACUAAUUAAUGAAGACGUUGUUGCAUUUGCAAAUGGCAUCGGAGACGAUGAGAGACAUAAGAGUAAGGAUGCAAUGAAAGUUGCAUAUCCGAUUGAGGAGUCCAUUGCUCAAGGUGUGUGUUUCUUAAAUUGAUGCUAAAGUGAUUACAAACUGUUUAUUUAUUUAUUUAAGUAAUGGAUGAAUGGAGAUCAUAUUUAUAAUUAAACAACUCAACGAGGGGGUACGGGUCUAAAUAUAGGGGUGCAAAAGGUAAUGAAACCCACUUCCUUUGACGUGUUUAGUUUUCUGUUGCCUUUGUUUUUGGUUUUUUCUGUUACGUGCUAACUAAUAACGAAUUGGAUGCAAACCCUAACCUAUUCCUUUCUAGAAACUCCAACGAAACCAAAAGUGAUGCAUGCUUAUCAAAAGUAAUUCUUUCAUUACAUCGCAAGGAUUAAUUUAAGCCAUUUCAAUUUGUUUUUUUUUUUUACUUUUUACAAAUUCAUCUACAUCAAUAUUUACUUAUCAAUGUAUAUCAUGUUAGAAGAAUAUAAAAAAUUCACACUAAUAGUGUUAGAGGAGUCUCUUUUAGCAUAUUUCAUCUUGUUCAAUUAGCAACUUGGAAGGCUCGAGCCCUAUUAAGCGCAGUUAGGAUAGGCGGCCUACGGGCUUAGGGACAUGGAUCCCUGACCCGGAAGUCAAAAGGACCAUUUGGCAUCCGAAAAAUGUAUACAUCGUAUUAGUUGUGGGGUCUAACCUUUAAACCUAGGAAUAAUUGAAAGGGCAAUGCGGAAAUCAACCAAGGGAGCACAAUUAAGACAUUUUGUGUUUGAUUUUCAUACAUAUUCCGCUCACACCUACGUUUCAAACAUCGCUAGGCCGUUAUCGGGCGUCGAGUAGGGUCCUAACUUGUGGCUUGCGGUUUUUUUAUUUUAUUUUCUUAUGUUAAUUAUUAAAUUUAUUGUACCACUUAUAAAUAAAUGCAUAUUUAUACUUACAACAAAUAAAUAAAUAAAUACUAUACUCGUAAUUGGGAUACAUAAAAUGCAAAAUACAAAUAUAAAUAAAUUAUAAAUUACUACAAAUUUUUUACAACAUUAAAGAUUUAUGGCAAAGAGAGACGAACACAUCAUAUUCUUGGUUUUUUUUUUUUUUUUGGGUCCAGGAGAGAGUUAGUCAAGACUAAAACUCAGUUAAAAAAACAAAAGACAAUCAUAUAUUCCUCAUAGGCCUACAUAGGCUCCAUACCUGAUUUUCUAACUGACUGGUAUUUAAUCAUGGUGCUGGCCAGCUGUGCAGACUGUUUUUUAGAACAUCGAUUCACACUGCUUUCACCAUCUAUUCUUCCCCUUUCCUCAUUGGUCAUCAGACCACAUAUUUUUCAUUAAUCUAUAGAAUUAUAAAUAAAAAUUUAAAAUUUAAAACAAAUUGGUUAACAAACUAGCUCUUAAGUUUUAAUUUUGCACCAAAUUGUAGUUAGGCCUUAUAGAAACCUAAAGUAUUCCACUGUCGAAGUCGAAGUCCAUAUUGAAAGUUACCGAUUUAUUUGUGCUACAACGGAUGUGAUCGGUAUUAAGGUUUUACUAGUAUCUAAGAGAGGAAUACGACUUGCUAGAAUGCACCCACCAGUUUACUAAUGGUGGAAAGUAUUGCCCCUUGCUUCAAGGAGAGUUAGCAUAUUGGAGCCGGACCUUGAGUUGGAAGUGGCGCGGUGGGGCGCGGCCCUUUUCUUUGAGUUGUUGAAAUUCCCACCUGCCUCAACAUAUUCUGUUUCUUUCUUGCACGGCUAGAGAUGGAGGUCGAGAUACCCACAUCACCGCGACAAUUCAAUGAGUGCCAACUUCGUCCUUGAAGUCAAAUCUUCCCCUUGACCUGCGUCUCCUUUCAAGGAAAGGGUUAUCAACGAAACUAAACUUUACAUCUCUUGAAGGUUGAUCGACGGGACUAAACUUUACAUCACUUUCUUGCCGAUUGACUUCUUCUUCGUAUGAUUGUGUACCCAAACUCUUUGAGAACUGAAAGCAGUCGAAAAGUGGAGAAAAAGAAAAUUCAAACCUCAAAACUCAAAAGUGUAACUGUAUCAGUAUCAAUGUGACUCCUUGUUGGCCUCAAUGCGUUGCGGUCGUUUAAAAUGCUGUCAUGGUUAUUAUAGCACAUUGUCUUGCGUUUUUUUCUUCAUAUUUUCAAAUUCGAAUAAUCAACAAAGAAAUAUAGUUUGAAAGUUUCCACUGAUGCUGUCAACAUUAUAGAUGCAUAGCAUAUUGUGUUCUUAAGAUUUCCAUGUGUAGUAUAUCUGGGUGCAUGCGUAAUAUGGACAGCCAAAACAGCAACACAGAAAUAUUAAAACAGCGUUUUGUUUUCACACAUUGAUUUUUUGUUCUUUUCUUUUCUUUUACAAAUUAAAUAUAUAGUAAUCAUAUGUAUAUUAUUUAGCAUGUAAGUAAUACAUAUUCAAUUUAAUACAUUGUUUACGUAUCUUUUCUAGAUAUUUCAUAACUGAGAAGUAAUAACAAAUGCAACGUCUCUACAUAACAUGGUCAAAAAGUUUGUCGAAGAUACUGAAUCAGGAAGUUCAAUUUCGGCAGAGCCCAAUGCUUUUUCACAACGAAAAAUUUCAUCUUGUACUUGUGUGAGUAUUUGGGAGACCGAUUUGUCAUUAUCCUUGAUCCCUCGCACUGAGAAAGCGAAACCGUCUACCGCAAAAUCAUAUGAAUCUACACAUUGUUUGACUCCUUCGAACCCCUUAACAAUACCUUUGCCGGUGCUGUUGAGCGCAUUGACAAAGAAAGCUUUGCUUUGUUGUGCAUUUUUUAGUGCUAAUUUAACAAUAGCUGUGUCAAGAUCUUUGAGAUUAGAUGCUGAUCGAGUUGGAAUAUCUUUCAAAAGAGAUUUUAUGCAUUGAUUGUAGUUGUAGCCGAAUCGGUCUUGGGUUUGCUUGCAAACACUACUAAUUAAUGAUGACGUUGUUGCAUUUGCAAAUGGCAUCGGAGACGAUGAGAGACAUAGGAGUAAGGAUGCAAUGAAAGUUGCAUAUCCGAUUGAGGAGUCCAUUGCUCAAGGUGUGUGUUUCUUAAAUUGAUGCUAAAGUGAUUACAAACUGUUUAUUUAUUUAUUUAAGUAAUGGAUGAAUGGAGAUCAUAUUUAUAAUUAAACAACUUAACAAGGAGGUACGAGUCUAAAUAUAGGGGUGCAAAAGGUAAUGAAACCCACUUCCUUUGACGUGUUUAGUUUUUUGUUCCCUUUGUUUUUGGUUUUUUCUGUUACGUGCUAACUAAUAACGAAUUGGAUGCAAACCCUAACCUAUUCCUUUCUAGAAACUCCAACGAAACCAAAAGUGAUGCAUGCUUAUCAAAAGUAUUUCUUUCAUUACAUCGCAAGGAUUAAUUUAAGCCAUUUCGAUUGGUUUUUUUUUUUUACUUUUUACAAAUUCAUCUACAUCCAUAUUUACUUAUCAAUGUAUAUCAUGUUAGAAGAAUAUAAAAAAUUCACAGUAAUAGUAUUAGAGGAGUCUCCUUUAGCCUAUUUCGUCUUGUUCAAUUAGCAGCUUGGGAGGCUCAAGCCCUAUUAAGUGUGGUUACGAU